rnacentral:rRNA from 1 species
UUCUGCCCUAUGAUUAAUUAAAUGGCUGCAGUACUUUGACUGUGCAAAGGUAGCAUAAUAAUUAGUCUUUUAAUUGAUGACUUGUAUGAAUGAUUGAAUGAAAAAUUUUUUUUAUUUUUAAAAAUAUUAAAAUUUAAUAUUUAAGUAAAAAAGCUUAAUUUUUUUUCCGGGACGAUAAGACCCUAUAGAACUUUAAAAUAUUUUAUUAAUAAUAAUUAUUUGGAUCUAUUAUUUUUUAUAAAUUAAAAUUUUUUUUUAUUGGGGUGAUAAAUAAAUUAAACUUUAUUUUAAAAUUUCAUUUAUUUAUGUAAUUUUGAUCCAUUUAUGAUUAAAAGAUUAAGUUACCUUAGGGAUAACAGCGUAAUUUUGAUGGGGAGUUCAUAUCUAUAUUAAAGUUUGCGACCUCGAUGUUGAAUUAAGAUAAAAAUAUGGGGUAG